UGCCCUAGUAACGGCGAGUGAAGCGGCAACAGCUCAAAUUUGAAAUCUGGCCCUCGGGUCCGAGUUGUAAUUUGUAGAGGAUGCUUUUGGUUAGGUACCUUCCGAGUUCCCUGGAACGGGACGCCUUAGAGGGUGAGAGCCCCGUACGGUUGGAUGCCGAGCCUCUGUAAAGCUCCUUCGACGAGUCGAGUAGUUUGGGAAUGCUGCUCUAAAUGGGAGGUAAAUUUCUUCUAAAGCUAAAUACCGGCCAGAGACCGAUAGCGCACAAGUAGAGUGAUCGAAAGAUGAAAAGUACUUUGAAAAGAGGGUUAAACAGCACGUGAAAUUGUUGAAAGGGAAGCGUUUAUGACCAGACUUUUUCUAGGUGGAUCAUCCGGUGUUCUCACCGGUGCACUUUACCUAGUUUAGGCCAGCAUCGGUUUUCGUAGGGGGAUAAAACUGGUGGGAAUGUGGCUCCUCCGGGAGUGUUAUAGCCCGCUAGAUAAUACCUUUACGGGGACCGAGGUUCGCGCUCUGCAAGGAUGCUGGCGUAAUGGUUAUCAACGACCCGUCUUGAAACACGGACCAAGGAGUCGAACAUUUGUGCGAGUGUUUGGGUGUCAAACCCUCACGCGUAAUGAAAGUGAACGGAGGUGAGAGCCCUUACGGGUGCAUCAUCGACCGAUCCUGAAGUUCUCGGAUGGAUUUGAGUAAGAGCAUAACUGUUCGGACCCGAAAGAUGGUGAACUAUGCGUGGAUAGGGUGAAGCCAGAGGAAACUCUGGUGGAGGCUCGCAGCGGUUCUGACGUGCAAAUCGAUCGUCAAAUCUGCGCAUGGGGGCGAAAGACUAAUCGAACCAUUAAAAACCAGCGGUAAAUUUGACUUACUAGGUGGUUAAGAGGCGGCUCGCGAGGGCACUUGGUACCUAGGUCGGGAAAGGAUACCCUGUAGCGG
rnacentral:rRNA from 1 species